rnacentral:lncRNA from 1 species
AUAGCAAAUCUUUGUGUUUAUAUUUGUUAUGCUUACUAUUUUAUUUAAUUUCUUUUUCUAUAUAGUAUCUUGCUAUUUAUUUUAAUUUUUUUAUUUUUAUUAAUUUAAUUCGAUUGUUAUUUAGUGGUUUGUAUUUUUUAAAUGUUUACCUUUUAGAUUUAGUUAGUGGUUGAAUUUCCGAUAUUUUUUUAUUCGACUAGUCGAUUUUUG